rnacentral:rRNA from 1 species
UGGGGAAUUUUGGACAAUGGGCGCAAGCCUGAUCCAGCAAUGCUACGUGCAGGAUGAAGGCCUUCGGGUUGUAAACUGCUUUUGUACGGAACGAAACGGUCUUUUCUAAUACAGAAGGCUAAUGACGGUACCGUAAGAAUAAGCACCGGCUAACUACGUGCCAGCAGCCGCGGUAAUACGUAGGGUGCGAGCGUUAAUCGGAAUUACUGGGCGUAAAGCGUGCGCAGGCGGUGAUGUAAGACAGAUGUGAAAUCCCCGGGCUCAACCUGGGACCUGCAUUUGUGACUGCAUCGCUGGAGUGCGGCAGAGGGGGAUGGAAUUCCGCGUGUAGCAGUGAAAUGCGUAGAUAUGCGGAGGAACCCGAUGGCGAAGGCAAUCCCCUGGGCCUGCACUGACGCUCAUGCACGAAAGCGUGGGGAGCAAACA